GUGGUCAUUAUUACCAAAAUUCCCAUUAGAGCUUGUUUGCAAUGUAAAUUUACAUGUUAUGGUGUCAGUCCAAAAUAGAGAAGUUUUAUUUAUGAUAAAACUAGAAUACAUUUUAGGACUGAUGGAAGAUUCAUAUUAAUAGUGAGUGUAUGCUAUUUUAAAGCAUUUUUCUAGGUCACGUAUUUACAUGGGGUAUUCAAAAAAUGUGUUUGGGAGUACACAUAAGCUCAUGUUCGCUCAAUGUGCCAUGAGCAAUCAAAAAUAGGAAGUGGCUAGGUUGAAAUUGGACUGCUAGUGAAAGACGCAAACUAAAACGUUUGGGAGUUGAGUAUAAAAGGUAUUAGUAAGUGGGUGAGGCCUGGGCCAAAGAUCAAAAGGUUAUCUAGGCCAUAUCAACUGUCCCAAAGCUAGAUGGAACCCUAGAAUCCCACUCAUUAUUUCACAAUCCUACUAUAUAUCGCCGCUUACCCACCCAUAUAUCGCCGCAUACACAACACAUUCCCUACCGCCGUCGUCUGCCACCAUCCGCAAAGUCUUUAUCAUCUUCUUUGUUCCGUCAUAUGUUAGUGAUUUCUUUCAUUCUAUGUCUAUUCCUUGAAAUGAUUAGCUAGUAUUUUGUGCUCUAU
rnacentral:lncRNA from 1 species